CAUGAGUGUGCCACUUCCUGAUGGGCCCAGCCCCAGAUCACAACAGUCCACACAGACCGCAUUCAAGCCCUGGUUGAAGAGAAGUCAAAGUAGGAGCUGACUCCAGUGACGUUAAGCAGCUGUCGCAGAAAUAGGAGAAAAGAGGCGAAAAGAUUCACUGUCACCAAAUCACAGUGGCUGGGAAAACACCUGGAUCCUCCACUUCUACAACAUUUAUGGAGAAUCUGUUACAUCUCAUCCCUGUUAAGUCCAGACAUGACGCUCAGGAGAGGCUAGAUCCUUUCCCUCAAGGACUAACCAUCUGUGGGGGAGAGAGUCACAAAACAGAUUCCCAAACAAGCAUUUUGUUACAAGUAACAUUUCAAUUCAGACUAGACACAUUUCAAGUGUUCGAUAGCCUCAUGCGGCUAGUGGCUACUCUGUCAAAUAGCAAAGUUCUGGAAGGCCUUGCUACUGGAUGAAAGAAGCCUACUGCAUCUACAUCAAACUGCCAAAGCAAGAAAUAAUCUUCUGUUGUAUUAAGCAAGCCACUGAGAUCUGAGGGCUUAUUUGUUACUAUAGCAUAGUUUACCGCUACUCUGACUAUUAUAAAAACUGUUAUAAAUUCAGGGCCAAUCAACAGACUUUCCCUCUACCUCUGAAGUUUAAAGAAAUUGGAUGUGUCUGAACAAAAAUAAAAUCUUUGACCAGGAAAUUAGGUGAGGGAUUGAUGCACUCAUGGUUUUCACCAGUGGAGGCAAACUUACUGAAGAGUGGAAGAGAUGGCGUUGACCGUCUAACCGGUCACUAUCAGUUGUGUGCACAAAACUGAGUUCUAUUCACAAGUCAAACAGAUUAGGAGACUCCUUUCCUGCUUGAUUGUUAAAAACCUAUCUUUUUUGGAGGAUAUCAUUCAGUCAAACACUAAAGUUAUUAUUAAAUAUGAUAAAUAAAAAUGGCAAGCAACAGGAUAUUUUGGAGUAUAUGACAAAGCCAUUUGGUGUAAACUUAAUUCAGUCUGACUUUGUUUUUCCAAAAGGGCCUGACAUGGCCAUUGAGUGUGCAUUGUAUAUCUGCUUUAAGCAUGUGCUGGGUCCCAAAGACAGGAACAAAUCGCCUUAUGAUAAAGAUGCAACUUCCCCCACAUUGGCAUUUCCUUAAGGAUAAGCAUCUCUCCCUAGGCUAGGAACUGAUUGCUCUGCUCGCCUGUGACCACCCAGCUUGAGACAAAAGAUCUGCCACCCUGCUGUGUCCAUCAAUCUCUGUGCUGAAAGGGCAGUCAUGUGACUAUUGUAAAAGGGACAUUUCAAUCCUAUGUGAAACAUUCUCUUAGAGGGUAUAUAACCACUCUGCACACCCCACUUCUUUGGUGCUCUUCCUUCCUUGGAGAAGGAAGGCCUUGGGAUAUAUGGUCCUCACAUUUGGUUCAGAAUAAACUCACCCGAAAUAUUCAUUUAUAGAUUGGUUAUGGAUUAUUCACGUUGGCUCAUACAUCUUUCCAAGCUUUCUUCUUUCUUCUUUACUAUUCUCUUCCCUUCUGGUCUUACCAUUAAUUUCUCAGAAGUCACAAGUGCUUGACUCCCAGUAGAGGGAUAAAGGAGUCUGAUACGGUGAGUUGGCAAAUGUUGGGCUUGUGAUAACUGGGUUGGGUACACCCCCACAUUCUCUCAGCCCAGCUUUCUUUUCUGCCAGGUGUUCAGGAAGACUAGCUGUUGACAGCUGUAGUUGAAGAGGCAUGGAGGCUGAAGUACCAGAUUGUGGAUCACUUGAUGAUCUUUGGACGUCUAAUUAUGACCACCUAUGUCACAAGCUGUUGAAAGGCUCACCUGUGACCACCCAGCUGGAGACAACAGACUGCCACCCCGCUGUGUUCACUGAGACAGAAGACCUACCUGCUGUUUCCAUCAAUCGCUGUGUCGACAGAGCUGUCUUGCGACUAUUGUAAAAAGGACAUUUCAAUCCUAUGUGAAACAUCCUCUCUGGGAGUAUAUAACCACUCUGUGUACCCACUUCUUUGGUGCCCUUUCUUCCUUCAGGAAGAAAGGCCCCGGGCCAUGGUCCUCAGAUUUCAGCUCAGAAUAAACUCACCCAAAUUUUCAU
rnacentral:lncRNA from 1 species